AACGAACGCUGGCGGCAGGCCUAACACAUGCAAGUCGAACGCCGUAGCAAUACGGAGUGGCAGACGGGUGAGUAACACGUGGGAACGUACCCUUCGGUUCGGAAUAACUCAGGGAAACUUGAGCUAAUACCGGAUACGUCCGAGAGGAGAAAGAUUUAUCGCCGAGGGAUCGGCCCGCGUCUGAUUAGCUUGUUGGUGAGGUAACGGCCCACCAAGGCGGUGACGGGUAGCUGGUCUGAGAGGAUGGCCAGCCACAUUGGGACUGAGAGACGGCCCAGACUCCUACGGGAGGCAGCAGUGGGGAAUCUUGCGCAAUGGCCUAACGGCUGACGCAGCGACGCCGCGUGUGGGAGGACGCCUCGGU
rnacentral:rRNA from 1 species